ensembl:lncRNA
AUGGAUUGUUUCUGGAAGUGUUUGAUUCUGUGUUUCAUCCAGCAAACCACCACCGUUUCAUCAGAUUAUGCCGUGUCUCUAAUCUGCAAGGACACUGUGGAAGUCCCGCAUGGACAAUCUGUGACCAUUAACUGCACCACAGUAUGGCAUCAUGACAAAUGUUCCUGCUACAGUUAUUUGUUAAGAAUGAACAAAAAUAACACCCAAUAUAAGUGGAAUGAGGAAAACUUUGUCGUGGACAUCCCAGUGGUCACAAAACAGGAAAUUGUCGAAGUUUCGGUGCACUGUCAGUGUGGAGAUUACAACAAGUCUAUCACACUACAACCAUACGUCAUGCUUCCAAUCUGCGAUGACCCUGUGAAAGUCCAGUGUGGACAAUCUGUGACCAUAACACCAAAGGAUGGAAACCAAUCUGACUGCCAGAAACAUUGGUUGUCUAGAAUGAACCAAAAUACAACCAAAUAUGAGUGCAAAGGAGAAAACUAUGUGUUGGAGAACAUCCCAGAGGUCACAAAGACGGAAAUUGUCAUGGUUUCAGUGAUAUGUCAUGAAGAAAGGAUCAAAACGUCUAUCACACUGCCACCAUGUUUCAAUUUGACAGAAUCAGAACUGAUGACCAGUGAGGGGUCUCCAGUCAAAUCCACAGUGACCACCAUCGUGCUCUCUGUUCUGUUCACUGUUGUUGGUGUUGCUGCUGUUGCGUAUGUUGUCUAUAAAAGCCGCACACGCAGAAUGUAUACCAACCCAGGGGCGUAGCACCACAUUUUGGGCCCUGGGUGCAAACCAUCUUGUUGGGUCCCCCCUACUGUAAAUUAUGUACACUUUUUUUUUUUCUUGCCCGGAAACUAUACAAGUAUUCUUGCAUUGUUAUAUAAGCUUUUUUUUUUUAUUCACAAUAACCUAAUGACUCCAUAUCCACUGCUUAAAUUUUACAAAUCUGUUUUAUUUUUUUAGUGGUUUGUUGAAUAUUAUGUUUGUGACAUACUUUAGCUGGUCAUAUGUAUAUAUAUACUGUAUAUACAAAUUAUUUUUUAUCCUCAGAUAGUCAAUUACAAUUACAUUCUCAAUUUCUAAAGUUCAAUUACAAUUAAUUACCGUGUUAGCUUUCUGUUAGCAUCUCUUAUGAUAACAGGUCUUAAAUCAGCUGUAAAAUACACUAAAAACAAAUAUCAAUCUUCUAUUUUCUUUCCUAUCUAUUGGAAAUAGGCUUCCUAAUCAAAGAAAAUAUAGGUUUUAAUAUUUGUUUCAAAGGUAAAAUGUAGGAAAGGUUGAUAUGAAACGUAUUUUAAUAAUUGUUAACUGCAUAUGUGUAGAACUGUACAUAGAACUGUAACAUGGUUCCCCAGUUUUGCUUUACAUUAUAAUUGACAGUUUGUGUAGAAUUUUCAUGGCAAUUGCAAUUACAAAGUCUAUUAUCUGAACUCAGUUACGAUUACGACAGCAACAGAUUUUUAAAAUUACAAUUACAAAUAUAAUGACGCCAUAAUUGUAACUAAUUAUAACUGACCCCAACCCUGAUAUACAGUACAUCAUUCAGGCAUGAUGGGGGGGCCCUGGAUUCUCAGUACUCUGCACCCCGUCACCCCCACCCCCAAUUCAAAUAGAACAGGAACUUAGUUCUGUGUAAAUAAAAUGUUCAGUGAUGAUUUUCUGUUUCA